UACGGAGGGUGCAAACGUUGCUCGGAAUCAUUGGGCGUAAAGCGCACGUAGGCGGCCUGUUAAGUCGGAUGUGAAAGCCCCGGGCUCAACCUGGGAAUUGCAUUCGAGACUGAAUAGCUAGGGUACGGUAGAGGGAAGUGGAAUUUCCGGUGUAGCGGUGAAAUGCGUAGAUAUCGGAAGGAACAUCAGUGGCGAAAGCGACUUCCUGGACCAGUACCGACGUUCAGGCACGAAAGCGUGGGGAGCAAACAGG
rnacentral:rRNA from 1 species